GAAGAAAACGACCAAUCAGCUUUUCAGGACAUCCCGGUUAAAAAAAGAAAAAAAGAAGUUGUCGUGUUUUUUGUCGAGUGAGAUAAGCUAACAAAAUGAUAUUUGUGAAGAGAAACCCGAGUAAUAUCGCUGUUUGUUCGCCUGGCAUCUGGAAGUGGAAGGAUGUUUUGCUGUGGAGUUUCUCAAGUGUGCUCCCUUCCUGAAGCCGGACUAUCAGCACUAACACCUGAAAGCCAUGUGUUCCCUGAAAGCUUGGAGGGCCUGGUUAGGCAGCAUGUUGGAGCCAUUGUGAAAAAGACAAACUGAACUCACCUGUGAGAGUUCUGUGUUAUACCUGUUUGAGCCUGAUGUUCAAUCCUGCCUCUGUAAUGCUGUAACACCCAGCAUGCAGGGUCAUGCACAGAUGAGAUGUUGGAGCAAAGUGGUGAACCACAUCAACAGCGUUUCAGCUGCUUAUGAUGUGAACAGUGUUGACCGUCGUCUACCUUUGUCAAGACAUCAGGAAGCUCUGCAAACAUAUUUUGGGCUUAUCUAUGGUGAGCUACGAAAAUGAAACACACAUGUUUUAAAAUCCAUUUUGACUUCACAGUCAUCAGCUCAAACAUGUACUGAGACGAGCUGUAGUAAAUAUGCAUGAACUGUCAUAUUUUGUAAAAUAAUCCAAUGAAACAGAGGGGUCAUGUACAUCACAGUAACAGGUGAAACUGACUGCAGAGGUGAGCGGGGCUGGUUUUCUGUGUCUGUGGAUCCUCUGAAGGAUUACACUGUUAGUGAUUGCCUUGCAUCAUCAGAGGCCACAGCUCAUCUUAAAUAUCUGCUUUUCUUACAUGUCAGCCUGCAGCGUUUCUCAGCCCUGGUAAUGUGUGCACUUGGUUUAAGUUGUAGCAAGGCAAUACUAUCCUGACAGUCACAUGCAUAUGUAAUAUAAUCCACAAAUGAGUGCAUAAGAUCCUGUUAAAGACAGAACGCUCCUCUCUAUGAAGUAAUCUGUAGCAGGUUUUGGGUUUGCAGUCGAUUCUAGUUCAAUUGUGCAGAUACCUAUAGGAAAAUAUUACUAUUAAUUUAUAUAUUGUAAAGGCACCGUGUUGGCCGUUUUACAGACUGUUAGAAAUGUAUGAACCUUUAUUUGUACUACAUUGUUUGUGCUUUAAUCAUGUCAAUAAAUCUGUUUUUUUUAAAUCAUAUAUAGCUGAGAAGCCAA